GCCCCUCAAUUUUCGCCUCUUUCCCAAUGAUUCUUUUUUCUCCUUGUAAAAGGAAGCCCUAGAACGCACAACUACUAAUUGUAGUUCCCACCUUUGAACCCAAGGUCUUUUGAUUCUCUCUGUUUCAAUUACAUUACUACCGUACCGUCUCAUCUUGAUUUCUCUCGAUUUCAAUUUUAUUUUCUCGUAAUAUAAACACUUUACAUCCAAGAAAGAUCACUAGUGGUGGAAUGGACAAUCAUUCCAGGACCGAAACAAGAACUUUCAAGAAUGAUGUGUUAAUGGCCAAGAAAAAUGCAUUAUUGAAGAGAAAAGAAUGCAUAAAGGAAAACAAAAUGGAAUUAUCAGUUUUGUGUGACGUGAAUGCUUGAGCCGUGAUUUUAGGCCUCGAUGAGUAAAUUGAUUCUUGGCUCGAGAAUCGUAGCAAUGUGCGGGAGGUGAUCGAUUUGUACCAAAAUAGGUCUCUUAAUAACAAGGGAAAGCAGCAAUAUGAUGAUCAGGGUUAUAACAAGAAGCGGGUUUCGGGUGGUGAUGAAGAGGUUAAAUCUAGGGCUUUGAAUCUGGAAGAAUUUCUAAAAAAGCCUGAGGCCAAAUUAGAUGAAGUCAAGAAACAGAUUCAAUUUGUCAAGUCCAAAGAUCAAGCAAUCAAAACAGGUAUUUUCAUGAUUAUUUUUUAUGGUGAUCGGGCCAACCCUUUUUAGUCAUGUUUCACUCUAUUCUUUCUGGAAUUCAUAUACUUCUAUAUUCAUUCAUGGAUAGAUGUGGGUUGUUGCUUAAAUUGAUUUUUAUGGUGUGUGAAAUUAUUGUGUUCUAUGUGUUUUCUGGAGUAGAUGAGUGAAUGUAUCUCUUUUUCUUAAUCAAGACAACGAACUCUAUAAAUCUCUAGGUGUAGUUUAUUUAAUUUAAUAAUCAGUAAUCAUGCUCAAGGGAGGAUAUGAAGAUUAGAUUCCAUUAUGCUUUAAGGAUCCGCUAUAUCUGAACUUCAUAUGAUUUACAAGGUUUUGCUGGGUGAUGAGCGUUUGCAAGAAAUUUCCUGGCAAUGGUUGUUGUUCAAUACGAAGAAUGGCUAAUGACUAGUCGAUGUGUUAUUUUGUGGCCGGCCUCAUUUCUUGCUGGUGAAUAAUUCAUUUAUGUUAUGAAAUUCCUACUCUCCUUCUGUUUUGUUACUUUUUGUCGUACAAUAAUAGCAUUGGAUCCUCCUAAAUGAAAAAUAGAUGAAGUCUUGAAAAUCAACUGAGCAGUUUAUGUUUAUACUCAUUGAUAAUAUGCAUCUAGAAACACAUGAUGAACCUAUAGAAGUACUAUUAUUAUGAUCUUUAGUAUAACUUCAUCCAUCCAUUACUCUCAGGUGAAGGUAGAGUAUUUUGAUAAAAUCCUAAGACACAAUUCUGACUUUUGCAGGGUACUCCUUUGUUAAAUAUGAUGCUUCAGAAGAAUCUGAUAAACCUGGCAACCCAUUGCGUGGCAACAUUUCUUCUAAUGCCUGGCCUCCAAAAAAAUCACAAAAAUUGGGCUCAAAUUCUAAUAUUGGCAUACUGGGGUUUGUAAAUCAGUUGCUUAUGGGUAUUGUGUCUUCUACUCCGGUAAGAGCAUUGACUACUUAUGAUGCAAUAUACACAUCGCAUUGCUUAUUUUUCUCAAUAUUCAUAUGUUUCUUGACUCUUAUUUUGCGCAUAUAAACUUUCAGGGCUAUAUC
rnacentral:lncRNA from 1 species